rnacentral:misc_RNA from 1 species
AUCUUCCGGUUUUAAGAUUAAUUACGAUCACAUACCAGAGAAUUCGCGCACGUUCGUUUUCAUAAAUACGGGUGAUUAUUAACGUCGAUAAGAUAUAUCGUGUAUGUUACGCAAACCAUGUUUUGGCUAGGUGGAAUGCGAAAUGUUUAAUAACGGGAAACAUAGUACGAAAUAAAACAUUAUUAUGUGCUUUGUCUAGACAGAUAUCUGUACGUGCUAAUAAUUACGGAAUAAAUAUCAUAAACGAUGUAAGCACAUAUAAAGAAAGAUUCAAUGAACACGUUAGGUCUUUAAAUGAUUUUCUUCGAACCUAUACUCGACUACGAAUAUAUUCGCAGGUUAUUGCAAUGACCAAACACUACUCGUUUGAGGAUGCAACGUGUUGUGGCGCGUAUUUGCAAAUAAAACGAUCUGCAUGCUACUUCCGUCGUCAAAACACGUCCUUACGUGCCACUUUCUUAACGCGUAUGAAUUAUGUAUGUUGUGUUUCAUUCACAAACACAGGCUACUUAUUAUUUCACGGAGAAAUUUCGGUAAACAUGCGACUCGCAAAAGGCACCGAUAGUUUUUCGAGAAAAUAAUAUGAAUAUCCUGACGAUGCAUCGAAAUGCCAACGAGGAACAUUGCAACAAAGGAAUCGUUGGAGCCACGAAUUAUAGAAACGUUGAAAGGAUCAUUGAGAAAAAUCACUUACGUUUUCUCCAGCGGUAAAUUUUUAAUUACCGUGUCGCAGGUAUUCUUCAUAUACUUGUUAUAACCAAGGAAGCCAAACAUUGUGUACAAGCAGGUAUUAAGCAACAUGUUGCAUGUUAUCAAUCGUGGCAAGUGUUCCGGAUUCUUCAUCGAGUUCUCCAGCGGUAGACACAAGGUCACAUUAUGAAGAGCGUACAGGAACAGAUUGCAAUACAUCGGAACUGGCAAAGCUUGCGUAAAAGCUUCUAAUCUUGCAGGGUCGGGGAAAUCUUCGAAGAGAUAGUACAGGGUAACGGAAAUACCAAUUAACAUAAACAGAGCACCGACCACGGAAAAUGGUGUCAGAUACUUCAUGUUCGGAAUGAAGCUCAAUAGACAGACAACGGGAAACAAUGCUAGUAUGUAGAUCCGAUCAUCCAUUUUAACGUCGAAGAAAAAUACAAUUAGCUGAAAAUGAAUAAUAUUUUUAGUAAUUAAUAAUCUCUUCGGUAAUGAAUAAUUUUGCAAUUGUAUAAAACGUAACUUAUAAUGAAUUUCGUGUGGUUGUAAAACUCGUACGAAUGUAAUCGCAAUGGUAUGAUAAAUAACGUGCAUUGGAUGCGUUGUAAGAACAUCUAAACGAAUGGAGAAAGGAUGGUAGUUCGUACUUUUCUGAA